rnacentral:tmRNA from 2 species
GGGGGCGUAAAGGUUUCGACGGGGAUUUUGAAGCAGGAACAGCGAGUAGAGGCGCCACCUCUUAAAAAGGCAACCUUUAAAAUUAAACGCUAACGAUAAAAACGUAGCACUUGCUGCCUAAUUAGGCUGCCGUCCCUUCCGGAAGGACCACGGUCCGGAAAGGGGCGUCGAUGAGUGGUGAACGUCCUGCGGGAGUGUCUCGGCCCGCUGGAUGUAUUUGGGACUACCGUAGUGCCCAGCCUGUUUAUCGGCGGGGUAUGAGGGGAAUCUAAAACGAUAAACUGCACUCGGAGCGGUUCCUGUGAAUAGGUUUUCGGACGCGGGUUCGAUUCCCGCCGCCUCCACCA